rnacentral:rRNA from 1 species
UACCGGCAGCUCUAGUGGUAACAAUUUUUAUUGGGCCUAAAGCGUCCGUAGCCGGUUUAAUAAGUCUCUGGUGAAAUCCUGCAGCUUAACUGUGGGAAUUGCUGGAGAUACUAUUAGACUUGAGACUGGGAGAGGUUAGAGGUACUCCCAGGGUAGAGGUGAAAUUCUGUAAUCCUGGGAGGACCGCCUGUUGCGAAGGCGUCUAACUGGAACGGUUCUGACGGUGAGGGACGAAAGUUAGGGGCGCGAACCGG